GCACCUACAAUAUUGCUGGGAAAAUCGAAUGAGCCUGCAAUGCCACCCAGCUUGCCAAAAGAUUACAGUGCUGAAGAUGAUGAUACCUUACCUUCAAAUCGCAAACCAGUAUGGGGAAAACACGGAUUAAACGAAUUCGAGAUAAUAUAGCAGUUUACGGAGACGAUUGGCACAGCGAUAUUCAUCAUCCGUGUAGAACGGAUUUACGCGUUCACUGAACUCGUCGUGCACGUACGGGUGGCUGGCGAAGGCCUCGCCAGUGUAUCGCGGCAACUCUAGGCGGCGCGGCACCCCACGUGGACUGUAGCCCUGGAGCUCCCCAACUAGUGGUACCUCUGAAUCCAUGUAUGCAUUGUCUACAUACGCCGCUGGUUGGUUGUCGUAGUGGCUCGGGUCGGGAGUAAUAUUCGCCCUAUUUCAGUUUUACAAGAUAAAAAUAAAUAAACACAAACGGA